rnacentral:misc_RNA from 1 species
GAUGAAGAACGCAGCAAAAUGCGAUAAGUAAUGUGAAUUGCAGAAUUCAGUGAAUCAUCGAAUCUUUGAACGCACAUUGCGCCCGCUGGUAUUCCGGCGGGCAUGCCUGUUCGAGCGUCAUUUCAACCCUCAAGCCCCCGGGUUUGGUGUUGGGGAUCGGCUCUGCCCUUCUGGGCGGUGCCGCCCCCGAAAUACAUUGGCGGUCUCGCUGCAGCCUCCAUUGCGUAGUAGCUAACACCUCGCAACUGGAACGCGGCGCGGCCAUGCCGUAAAACCCCAACUUCUGAAUGUUGACCUCCGAUCAGGUAGGAAUACCCGCUGAACUUAAGCAUAUCAAUAAGCGGAGGA